UAGGGAAUCUUCGGCAAUGGACGGAAGUCUGACCGAGCAACGCCGCGUGAGUGAAGAAGGCCUUCGGGUUGUAAAGCUCUGUUGUAAGGGAAGAACGGUAGAUAGAGAAUAUCUAAGUGACGGUACCUUACCAGAAAGCCACGGCUAACUACGUGCCAGCAGCCGCGGUAAUACGUAGGUGGCGAGCGUUAUCCGGAAUUAUUGGGCGUAAAGGGUGCGUAGGCGGCCUGUUAAGUAAGUGGUUAAAUUGUUGGGCUCAACCCAAUCCAGCCACUUAAACUGGCAGGCUAGAGUAUUGGAGAGGCAAGUGGAAUUCCAUGUGUAGCGGUAAAAUGCGUAGAUAUAUGGAGGAACACCAGUGGCGAAGGCGGCUUGCUAGCCAAAGACUGACGCUCAUGCACGAAAGCGUGGGGAGCAAAUAGGAUUAGAUACCCUAGUAGUCCACGCCGUAAACGAUGAAUACUAAGUAUUGGGGAAACUCAGUGCUGCAGCUAACGCAAUAAGUAUUCCGCCUGUGGAGUAUGCACGCAAGUGUG
rnacentral:rRNA from 1 species